rnacentral:rRNA from 1 species
UACGGGGGGGGCAAGCGUUGUUCGGAAUUACUGGGCGUAAAGGGCUUGUAGGUGGCCAACUAAGUCAGACGUGAAAUCCCUCGGCUUAACCGGGGAACUGCGUCUGAUACUGGAUGGCUUGAGUGUGGGAGAGGGAUGCGGAAUUCCAGGUGUAGCGGUGAAAUGCGUAGAUAUCUGGAGGAACACCGGUGGCGAAGGCGGCAUCCUGGGCCAUUACUGACACUGAAAAGCGAAAGCCAGGGGAGCAAACGGG